rnacentral:hammerhead_ribozyme from 1 species
AACUGGUCAGGAGCUGGGCCACUCCCCUGAUGAGCCCAUGGUAGGGCGAAACCAGUG